UUUUUGAAAAUAAUAUAAAGUCUAGUCUGCCCACUGAUAAUUUAUUAAAGGGCUGCAGUAUUUUGACUGUACAAAGGUAGCAUAAUCAUUUGUCUCUUAAUUGGUGACUUGUAUGAAAGAUUGGAUGAAAUAUAAACUGUCUCAUUAUAAUUAUUAAAACUUAAUUUUUUAGUUAAAAAGCUAAAAUAUUUUUAAAAGACGAGAAGACCCUAUAGAGUUUAAUAAUUAUUUUAAUAUAAAUAAAAUGUAAAAAUUAAAAUUUAAAUUAAAUUAAUUAUUUUGUUGGGGUGACAGAAAAAUUAAAUUAACUUUUUUUAAAAAUAAACAUGAAUAAGUGAGUAAAUGAUCCAUUAUUAAUGAUUAAAAGAAAAAAUUACCUUAGGGAUAACAGCGUAAUUUUUUUUUUUAGGCCAAAUAAGAAAAAAAGUUUGCGACCCCGAUGUUGGAUUAAGAUAAAAUUUAAAUGCAAAAGUUUAAAAUUUUGAUCUGUUCGAUCAUUAAAA
rnacentral:rRNA from 1 species